AAAUAACACACUAAAGGCUAUUUCUCCUGCUUGAUGAAACUUUUUUCUUGGUCCAAAGAACCCCAUCUCCCUGGCACAGAAAUUAAGGAAUAACAGGAUGAAAGGAUAGCAAACACAAAAUCAAUCCUUAUUCUCUCUAAGAUAUACAUACAGUGAAGGAAAGAAAAAGAUAACAGAUUAGUUAACCACUGAAAUGCCUAAAUCAUAAUGAAUAGUGAAAGAGGAAGUGGUAUUUAUUAUUUGUAAUAGGAGGAGGAAUAAAUUUGCACCAAAUUUCUUAGCUGUUAAUGGAUGUGUAGUUAAAUAUUCCUAGGAUCAAUCCUGAGGAAUUAUGGUAAAGCAAUUGCAUGCACAUUUUUUACACUCCAUCAAUAACAAACCAGCACAAACUGAGGCCACAGAUUCCAGUUACUGCUAAAACAGCUCCAUCCUUGACCCUGCAGGUCAGAAUAGUAGAAAUGGAACAGCCAAGGAGGUUCAAAGGUCAGAAAUAACAUUGCAUAAAGAUCGGGUGUUUUAUAAGACGAUAUGGAAAGAUUAUUUAUUCAGCAACAGAUAACUCUAGAUCAGAAAAAACAUUUAGAAGGAUGUGUUGAAUUUGGCUCGCAAUGAACAGUGUCUUGAGAGAGAUGUCAUUCUCAUCACAAACUGCAAAAAUGUGACUCUACUAUCAAUCAUUCCACAGCCUGCAUAUGCACUGUCCUUCAACUUCUAAAAGCUAUGGAAAUUGCAGAUGGCAACAGCCUUCAAGAAACUAAAUAGCAACUGAGUAAUGAGGUGUUUGAAGGAAUCAUGUUGAGACAAACCAGGCCCUAGAUAAAUCAGUGACUGUCUCCAAUUUCUGUUAUGAAUAAUGUUGCUGUGGACAUUCCUGUACAGGUCUGUGGACCUGCUUCUCACCUACAGACCUUCUCAGUUUCUGCCCCCAAAACUGACUGUCUACUGUGUUUAUGUAGAGGACUGUGUACUUCCAACCACCAAAUAAGCUUAAUAUUGUGCUUUGCUUGGACUUGAUAAAUUCAGUGGGAUGUUGUUUUGUUUCUUUUCAUUGAAUAUUUGAGCACAGAUGGAAAGGCUAAAAUCAGGGAAGUAAUGACCUUAGGCAUAUUCUUGAAGUGUGAAUGCAUUGUUUUCUUUAAAUAACUUGUAUGUGAAAUAUCAGUUUGUAAUUCUAGGAGCAAAAAUAUAUGCUGUAUAAUCUCUGUACCUCUUCCAUAAAGAUGGACUGUGACUUAAAAUAGCCUAGGGUUAUUAAUGCUGUAAAUCUCUCUAAAAGGCAUUUCAGUACUUGUUCUUCUUGCUCUCAAAAA